UACGUAGGGUCCGAGCGUUGUCCGGAAUUAUUGGGCGUAAAGAGCUCGUAGGCGGUUUGUCGCGUCUGCUGUGAAAUCCCGAGGCUCAACCUCGGGCCUGCAGUGGGUACGGGCAGACUGGAGUGCGGUAGGGGAGAAUGGAAUUCCUGGUGUAGCGGUGGAAUGCGCAGAUAUCAGGAGGAACACCAACGGCGAAGGCAGCUCGCUGGGACGGAACUGACGCUGAGGCGCGAAAGCGUGGGGAGCGAACAGG
rnacentral:rRNA from 1 species